rnacentral:rRNA from 1 species
GAUGAACGCUAGCGGGAGGCCUAAUACAUGCAAGUCGAACGGCAGCAUUUCGGAUGGCGAGUGGCGCACGGGUGAGUAACGCGUACAGACCUGCCUUGUACUGGAGAAUAGCCCUGGGAAACUGGGAGUAAUACUCCAUGUGGUCGAAAGACUAAAGCUACGGCGGUACAAGAUGGCUGUGCGUAUGAUUAGCUAGUUGGUGAGGUAACAGCUCACCAAGGCGACGAUCAUUAGGGGGCGUGAGAGCGUGACCCCCCACACGGGUACUGAGACACGGACCCGACUCCUACGGGAGGCAGCAGUAAGGAAUAUUGGGCAAUGGAGGCAACUCUGACCCAGCCAUCCCGCGUGCAGGAUGAAGGCGCUACGCGUUGUAAACUGCUUUUAUUUGGGACGAACACUGGAUAUUUAUAUUCAGCUGACGGUACCUAAUGAAUAAGCACCGGCUAACUCCG